rnacentral:rRNA from 1 species
UACGUAGGGGGCGAGCGUUGUCCGGAUUUAUUGGGCGUAAAGAGCGUGUAGGCGGCCAGGUAGGUCUGCUGUGAAAACUCGAGGCUCAACCUCGAGACGUCGGCGGAAACCAUCUGGCUAGAGUCCGGAAGAGGAGAGUGGAAUUCCUGGUGUAGCGGUGAAAUGCGCAGAUAUCAGGAGGAACACCGAUGGCGAAGGCAGGUCUCUGGGCCACUACUGACGCUGAGAAGCGAAAGCGUGGGGAGCGAACAGG